rnacentral:lncRNA from 1 species
GCAAUUUUAUUGUAUAGAGAAAACAGAAUACAAUGGUGUUGCUCCACACAUUUAUGUCAUUCAUUCAAAAACAACGCACACUUGAGAGUAUUAUUUUGCAGGCUGAAGGAAUCCUUUGAUGUCGAAAGAUCCAUCAGCAUCAGUUUUUGUGAUCACACCCUACAAAUCGAUCAAAAACCCCUAGUCAGCCAAAAACACAUCAACAAUGUUCUCUGCAAAAUUGCCGAUCGUAUAAAGAAACAUUCGAGAAGGGCCAGGAGAGAAUACCUUUUCUGUUAUGAUUGCAGUGAUCAGAUUUGCUGGAGUAACAUCGAAAGCAGGGUUCCAG